rnacentral:rRNA from 1 species
CCUACGGGUGGCAGCAGUGGGGAAUAUUGGACAAUGGGCGAAAGCCUGAUCCAGCCAUGCCGCGUGUGUGAAGAAGGCCUUCGGGUUGUAAAGCACUUUCAGUGGGGAAGAAAGCCUUGGGGCUAAUACCCUCGAGGAAGGACAUCACCCACAGAAGAAGCACCGGCUAACUCCGUGCCAGCAGCCGCGGUAAUACGGAGGGUGCGAGCGUUAAUCGGAAUUACUGGGCGUAAAGCGCGCGUAGGCGGUCUGAUAAGCCGGUUGGGAAAGCCCCGGGCUCAACCUGGGAACGGCAUCCGGAACUGUCAGGCUAGAGUGCAGGAGAGGAAGGUAGAAUUCCCGGUGUAGCGGUGAAAUGCGUAGAGAUCGGGAGGAAUACCAGUGGCGAAGGCGGCCUUCUGGACUGACACUGACGCUGAGGUGCGAAAGCGUGGGUAGCAAACAGGAUUAGAUACCCGGGUAGUC